AGCGAACGCUGGCGGCAGGCUUAACACAUGCAAGUCGAACGCCCCGCAAGGGGAGUGGCAGACGGGUGAGUAACACGUGGGAACGUACCCUUUGGUUCGGAAUAACUUGGGGAAACUCAAGCUAAUACCGGAUAAGCCCUUAUGGGGAAAGGUUUACUGCCGAAGGAUCGGCCCGCGUCUGAUUAGCUAGUUGGUGAGGUAAUGGCUCACCAAGGCGACGAUCAGUAGCUGGUCUGAGAGGAUGAUCAGCCACACUAGGACUGAGACACGGCCCAGACUCCUACGGGAGGCAGCAGUGGGGAAUAUUGGACAAUGGGGGCAACCCUGAUCCAGCCAUGCCGCGUGAGUGAUGAAGGCCUUAGGGUUGUAAAGCUCUUUUACCCGGGACGAUAAUGACUGUACCGGGAGAAUAAGCCCCGGCUAACUUCGUGCCAGCAGCCGCAGUAC
rnacentral:rRNA from 1 species